rnacentral:lncRNA from 1 species
UUCAAAUAGUUAUUUUAUGGUCAAUAUUCAUGCUCACAUAUCCCGUACAUUAUAUAUUAGGUAUUCACCAACUCCAAGCUUACAAGAAUAACCUUCCAACAAAAUUUACAAAAAUGUUAAACGGGAAUUCAUUGCCGCCGCUGACCUGCACAAGCCGAUUGCACGUCCUGAGUCUACCCAUAUGCCGCACCUGCACCGCGAUGCCAAAGUCACAGAGUUGUUGUAACUACAACCAAUGUUUAUUAGAAGUACAUGCAAAGCUAACCCAAUAAAAAAGACAUACCAGAAAAUCCAACAAAGAAUCAAAACAUCCAACAAUUAAAGCACGUACCAUAAAUAUUAAUAGAUCUACACCAAUGUAUCUCCUUAAUUUAUAACCAUCCAAGACACCAGUAAUCUAAAUCCACUCAAAUCAAUCUUGAUUACUUAAGAUUUUCCUCUGCAUCGCUUACUUGGUUUUAGUUUUUUGUGCAACCUACAGUUACCUAUAUCUUACAAGUUAUACGACUGUUGUGUCCAUUUAUACAGUAAUUGAGAACCAAAUGAGUUCUAGAACAUUGGCGUUCAAACUGUACUUAACUUUUUGUGCCGAGAUGAAAAUGUUCAUGCUUACUACUUUAUUGUUGUCUGCUUCCUAGGUCCUAAACCUAAUUUUUUGCUAUUUGGUAUUCCUCUAUUAUAUAAAAAAGCCAGAAAAUUUUGCUCCAAAUAACCUGAAUUUAUUUUCUUGCUUGAUUUUGCAUUAGACUGAGUUAAGCGAAAGGGAUAGCAUCGUGAUGAGGAAGAAAAUGGACAAUGCUCAAGAUAAUUACUCCCAAAACUAAGCAUUGUUUAGAGCUGCACUUCUUAAAAGAAUUGUAGUUACUCUCAGCCACCUAGCGAUGCACAGUUCUUUGUGCAGUUGUCAAGUUCUUAACAGUGAGAUGUUACACCUAAUAUUUUAUCCCGGUGAAUAAGCCAUGCCAAAAAUGGAUACAUGGAUUACAAGUGUUGUGAAAGUCACGAGAGAAGAAUUUUAAGGUUAUCAAGAGGCAAGCCACUUACCUUUACUUCCACUUACCAAUAUUGUGCUUGUAGACCAUUGUACGUAAUAUUGAGGAUUGUCCAAUCAACUCGAGCCAGAGACGUAACAACCUACAGUAUUAACUCCGUCCAGCGACAACAACACCUCCAGCAGGUAUCAUCUUAUGCGCGACAUCAAGCCAUUUGCAUGAUUCACUGUAUGCCAGACUGAUGAAUAGAUAAACAAUACUUGAUCAAUAAAUCUUUCUAAAAUAGAAAAAGUCAAUCUGUACAUUGCAGAUUAAUUAACAUUACCACAGAACUAUCCCCAUGCUUAGUACAUACAUACAUGUAGGUUCUUUGCUAUAUUACUUACUUUAGAAACUAAAGUUUCUAUUUCAUUUUAUAUCAGAUUGAUGAACUGGCCAUUGACCAUUGAUCAAUGAUACUUUAAUUAUAUUCAACAAAGUGCUCAUUUAGAUAGACUGGACAAAGAUAGCCUAAACAAUCACUAUAUGUGCAUGCCGAAAUAAUAAAAGUAUAAUAUGACUGUUUCCUUGACAUACUUACAUUUCCCUUGAGCUAAUACUUACAUUUUCACGGUUUCCUUGGAAAACAAAAAAACUAAACAUUAAUAUAAUUUGUUUACCUAUUAUAUUAGUUACAUUAAUGAUUAACAUGACAAUUUCCUUUUUAGGGCCUCCAAUAGUAUGGUAUGUACACUGUUGAAUCCAUUGGCUAUAAGCAUUGGGACAAGAAAAAAUAAGCUCAAAGUUUAAGGCUCUGGGACACAAUCAACUUAUCUACCAAUGAACUUAUUAGCACUAAUAUGAUUUUAACACAUAAAUAUAUAGUUUGCUUUUUUUAAUUCCUUUUCAUCAUUCAAAGUUUGCUAAUAUUCCCUUUGUAUCUUGGGCAAUACGACCCGUGCUUCUAUUGGGAACAAACUGUUCAACAAGUUAGCCAAAAAUAAAGGGGACUCUACCUACAUAUUUAACACCUUUGAAGUUUUGGGAGUGUGAAUUGUUUUGACCAUUGAAGAACAAUCUAAAAAACAGUUUCCUUUUUUAUAUAACAGUGAAGAAAGUUGAGGAAAGAGUUUCAGAUUUUUUUCGGGCUAAACUUGAAAGUUGUUGAUGGAGAUACCUUAGAGAGUAGGGUAAAUAUUGGUAAAAGAGUGUUCAGGUAUGUAUAUUCAUGAAACGAAGUGGC